rnacentral:misc_RNA from 1 species
UGAGAUCACCUGAGUAUGUGAUGGG